UACGUAGUGGGCAAGCGUUGUCCGGAUUUAUUGGGCGUAAAGAGCGUGUAGGCGGCCAGACAGGUCUGCUGUGAAAACUCGAGGCUCAACCUCGAGACGCCGGUGGAAACCGUCUGGCUAGAGUCCGGAAGAGGAGAGUGGAAUUCCUGGUGUAGCGGUGAAAUGCGCAGAUAUCAGGAAGAACACCCGUGGCUAAGGCGGCUCUCUAGUACGGUACUGACGCUGAGACGCGAAAGCGUGGGGAGCGAACAGG
rnacentral:rRNA from 1 species